GACGGAGGAUGCAAGCGUUAUCCGGAAUUAUUGGGCGUAAAGCGUCCGCAGGUGGACAUACAAGUCUGCUGUCAAAGUGCAGAGCUUAACUCCGUAAAGGCGGUGGAAACUGUAGGUCUUGAGUAUGGUAGGGGUAGAGGGAAUUCCCGGUGUAGCGGUGAAAUGCGUAGAUAUCGGGAAGAACACCAGUGGCGAAAGCGCUCUACUGGGCCAUAACUGACACUGAGGGACGAAAGCUAGGGGAGCGAAAGGG
rnacentral:rRNA from 1 species